rnacentral:rRNA from 1 species
AUUGAACGCUGGCGGCAUGCCUUACACAUGCAAGUCGAACGGUAACAGGUCUUCGGAUGCUGACGAGUGGCGAACGGGGGAGUAAUACAUCGGAACGUGCCUAGUAGUGGGGGAUAACUAAUCGAAAGAGUGGCUAAUUCCGCAUGAGAUCUACGGAUGAAAGCAGGGGAUCGAAAGACCUUGUGCUGCGAGAGCGGCCGAUGGCAGUUGAGGUAGUUGGUGGGAUAAAAGCUUACCAAGCCGACGAUCUGUAGCUGGGCUGAGCGGACGAUCAGCCACACUGGGACUGAGACACGGCCCAGACUCCUACGGGAGGCAGCAGUGGGGAAUUUUGGACAAUGGGCGCAAGCCUGAUCCAGCAAUGCCGCGUGCAGGAUGAAGGCCUUCGGGUUGUAAACUGCUUUUGUACGGAACGAAAAGCCCUGGGUUAAUACCCUGGGGUCAUGACGGUACCGUAAGAAUAAGCACCGGCUAACUACGUGCCAGCCGCCGCGGUAAUAC